rnacentral:rRNA from 1 species
GACGAACGCUGGCGGCGUGCUUAACACAUGCAAGUCGAACGGAAAGGCCCUGCUUUCGUGGGGUGCUCGAGUGGCGAACGGGUGAGUAACACGUGAGUAACCUGCCCUUGACUUUGGGAUAACUUCAGGAAACUGGGGCUAAUACCGGACAGGAGCUCCCGCUGCAUGGUGGGGGUUGGAAAGUUUCGGCGGUUGGGGAUGGACUCGCGGCUUACCAGCUUGUUGGUGGGGUAGUGGCUUACCAAGGCAUUGACGGGUAGCCGGCCUGAGAGGGUGACCGGCCACAUUGGGACUGAGAGACGGCCCAGACUCCUACGGGAGGCAGAAGUGGGGAAUAUUGCACAAUGGGCGGAAGCCUGAUGCAGCGACGCCGCGUGCGGGAUGACGGCCUUCGGGUUGUAAACCGCUUUCGCCUGUGACGAAGCGGGAGUGACGGUAAUGGGUGAAGAAGCACCGGCUAACUACGUG